UACGUAGGCAGCGAGCGUUGUUCGGAGUUACUGGGCGUAAAGCGUGCGUAGGCGGUUCGUUAAGUGCGUCGUGAAAGCCCCGGGCUCAACCUGGGAAUUGCAUUCGAUACUGGAUAGCUAGAGUUCGGCAGAGGGAAGCGGAAUUUCCGGUGUAGCGUGAAAUGCGUAGGAUAAUCGGAAGGAACAUCAGUGGCGAAAGCG
rnacentral:rRNA from 1 species